rnacentral:rRNA from 1 species
AAGAGACAGCAGCCGCCGCGGGAAUACGAAGGGUGCAAGCGUUAAUCGGAAUUACUGGGCGUAAAGCGUGCGUAGGCGGUUUGUUAAGUCUGCUGUGAAAUCCCCGGGCUCAACCUGGGAAUGGCAGUGGAUACUGGCAAGCUAGAGUGUGUCAGAGGAUGGUGGAAUUCCCGGUGUAGCGGUGAAAUGCGUAGAGAUCGGGAGGAAUACCGGUGGCGAAGGCGGCCCCCUGGACAAAGACUGACGCUCAGGUGCGAAAGCGUGGGGAGCAAACAGGAUUAGAGACCCCCGUAGUCCCUGUCUCUUAUAU